rnacentral:lncRNA from 1 species
CUCCUCCUCAUUCCUAGUGCCCCAAGCCAGGCCCUCAUUGCUUCUGGCCUAAUUUAUCUUAAGUUUCUGCUCCUCUAAGAGAUUCACCCUAUCUGCCAACCUGUUCUCCACUGUUGCCAGAGUUAACUUCCUAAAGUGUAUGUUCCAUUAUUAUGUGUUCCAUGCUCAAAAACCUUUAAUGAUUUCCUCUCGCACAGAGAACACACAGAUUGCUAAGCCUGGUAUUCUAAGUUUACUGGGACCCAAUUAAGUCUUUCUUCCAGACUUCCCAGCAACUGCCCAUCCACCUUCUCUGUGCUUCACUCAUGCAGAUCAACUUGCCGAGCAUUUCCCCUCCUUUGGGUCUUUUUCCAGGCUGUAUCAUCACAUACAUCAGGUCAAGCUCAAUAUUGCUCUGGCACUAAAGGCUUCCUAUAGUUUGUCACAUUCCACUGAAUCUUCCUCUUACUUGGCUCAGUUCUGCCUCCACAAUGUUAUCUACUGUGCUCAAACAUGCCCUGCCUGAGGCAUCCAGGACAAGACAGCUAAUUGACUUUGGUCAAUCCCAUCUCUACCCAGAGCCUACUUACUCAUUUCUCAUUGCCUGUCUGUUGUUUACUGAUCUUCCUGUGCCCAACACAGACCAUGUCUCAUGUCCUAUUCUUUCCACACUCCAACUACACUGCUCUUCCAGAUACCCCACAGUGCUCACCAUCAACCCGUACAUGUCUGAUUUUUUUUUAAAUGUUGUAUUAUAGAAAUUUUGAAAAAUGAACACAAGUGGAGAGGGCAUCACGAACCUUGAAUUACCUUGCUUUAACAGUUAACACUAUUUCCUCAAUGUCAUUUUCGACUCUCCCUCUCCCCAUUGCUGGAGUUUUUCAGGCCGAGUCACGUGCACCUGGCCUCUUUUUCUAAUUAUCUCCAAGAACAGCAUCUCAAAAUGCAGGCAGUAGUCCCCCCUUAUCCACGGGGGAUACAUUCCAAGACCCUCAGUGGUGGUCUAAAACCACAGAUAGUACCAAACCUUAUAUACAUUAUGUUUUUCCUAUAUGUACCUAGGAAUCAAAUAAUGAUAAUAUACUGUAAUAAAAGUUAUGUGAAAGUCAUCUCUCCC